AGAUGUAAGCCAUACACCAUUUUUACGCUAAACACGUCAGACCUCUAAUCAAAGGCAGCACACGAGUGUAUUUUUUUUAUACAUUUGCUUGGAAGUGAAUUGAUGUAAAUAAUUUCGUUAUUGUGGAACACACAAGUGUAUAUAUCGAAAGUUUCAAAUUGUUCGUGGUUUAGACAUGCAGUAAUUUUGUUUUUGGCAAAUAGUUCAUGAUAAUCCCUAUACGGAUAUUAAAAGAAAUUUUUGUGGAGAUACAAAUACGAAACGCACUUUUUUGGAUAGAGAAAAGUUGUUGUUAUUUUUCCUCGGUGAUUGUUUGUGACAACGAUAUGUUAAUGAACUGUGGAAUAGAAAGGGGUAGUCAAUAUCUAUAUAAUCGGAAAUUUUGAAGUACAGCUUGCUGAUUGUGGUAUACGACGAACGCGAAACGAGAAACCGGUGAACAACAAAUAUGACGAUAUCGGUACCUGACGAGCCAGUUUGGAAUUUGGAACGUCGUGAAUCAUCGGGUCAUUUAUUCUGGAGUCGACAGUCAUCCAGAGUGAAAUUCCGCUGUGAGGUGGAAGUCCUUGAAUAUGUUAAACAUCCCGACGAACACAAUUACGAUCACAGUACAGAGGAUAAAUUGCAUCCGAAUGACAAAAUGGGAAAUAUUAUACUGAUAUGUGCGACAUGCAUUGCUGCUAUAGCGGUGACAACGUUUUUACCGUGGCUUUUAUUCGGAGGAAGUUAAUCAUGUUUUUGAUAGAAAUAACAAAAUAUAACAAAAAAUAUGGCUGACCUUCAACUUGUAAAAAAUAAUAUUUUUUUUUGUAUGUGUAGUUAAGUUGGAUUAAGAUAACUCCUACAUUUUAUUUAUAAUUUUUGCUAAAUUACAUUCUAGCUAGAGGUUAAUAAGAUUUAUAUAUAUAUUUGUGUAAAUUGCACAGGAAUGCUUUGACAUGAACGGUGGUGCAAUCCAAGUAAGAAAAAAAUUGUUUUUCUGGUCGAAACAUUGAAUGUUUUUAAUAUUUUUGCACUUAAAGAAAAGGAG